GACGAACGCUGGCGGCGUGCUUAACACAUGCAAGUCGAACGGAAAGGCCCUGCUUGCAGGGUGCUCGAGUGGCGAACGGGUGAGUAACACGUGGGUGAUCUGCCCCUUACUUUGGGAUAAGCCUGGGAAACUGGGUCUAAUACUGGAUAGGACCACGCUGUAGGUGGUGUGGUGGAAAGAUUUUUUCGGUAAGGGAUGAGCUCGCGGCCUAUCAGCUUGUUGGUGGGGUAAUGGCCUACCAAGGCGUCGACGGGUAGCCGGCCUGAGAGGGUGGACGGCCACAUUGGGACUGAGAUACGGCCCAGACUCCUACGGGAGGCAGCAGUGGGGAAUAUUGCACAAUGGGCGCAAGCCUGAUGCAGCGACGCCGCGUGGGGGAUGACGGCCUUCGGGUUGUAAACUCCUUUCAGCCAUGACGAAGCCUCUUUUGGGGUGACGGUAGUGGUAGAAGAAGCACCGGCUAACUACGUGCCAGCAGCCGCGGUAAUACGUAGGGUGCGAGCGUUGUCCGGAAUUACUGGGCGUAAAGAGCUCGUAGGUGGCCUGUCGCGUCAUUUGUGAAAGCCCGGGGCUUAACUCCGGGUUGGCAGGUGAUACGGGCAUGACUGGAGUACUGUAGGGGAGACUGGAAUUCCUGGUGUAGCGGUGAAAUGCGCAGAUAUCAGGAGGAACACCGGUGGCGAAGGCGGGUCUCCGGGCAGUAACUGACGCUGAGGAGCGAAAGCAUGGGUAGCGAACAGG
rnacentral:rRNA from 1 species